ACAAGCUAGUCUUCAUGUGCGAAUUAAAAUUGGAACGAUACAGAAAAGAUUUGUAUGGUCCCUGAGCAAUGAUAACAAACAUUUAUGAAGUUUUCCAUAUUGUU
ensembl:snRNA U6 U6 spliceosomal RNA